GUUGUGUGUUAGCCUAAAACACAACUAAGUACAUGUAAGUUGUGUUUUAAUGUUAGACACAACAUUAGUUUUAGCCCUCACUAAAUCAAUUAGUGUUUAACAUAAUGUCACCUCCUCCACAUUAUAAUGAGACACACAUUAACUGAUCAAUCAUUAGCUGAUACUAAUGGACUAAUGUUCAUAUACUGUAUAUUACAUACAGUCACUAGUCAAUAGUGUCUGCUGGAGUAGAGGAGGAGGUGUCUGUUAUAAGGAGUGUAUCUGUUAAUAGUAUCACAUUGUACUAAUAAUAGUGAUAAUAGUAUUUAAUAAUAAUUGUUUUUAAUAGCUGUUUGUCGUUCCUAAACUGUUUGACUCCUCCCACUACUGUCACUAGUAAUGUUAUCAUUAUCUUCAAUGAGACACAAUAAUAAUUGUUAGUUUUAUCAUAACUGCUGGUAGUUCGUCAUCAACAGCUGCUAGUAGGACCAGUCAUCAGGAACUACUGUAGCAUCAUAUUGUUCAUCAUCUACUAGACUGUACUAUAUAGCAAUGAUACUAAUCAACCAACAGCUAAAACCAUGUAUACACCUUGUAUUGUUAUAAAAUUAAAGGUAAGGAUUCCUUAUUAAAUGCUCAUAAUUAUUCAAACCUUCUAUCUGUAUGAUAAAACAUUGCUAGUAUAGCCUACAUAAUGAUCAGUGAGUAACUAAUUAUAAUUAUCCGAGGGGGUCUAAUUCUGUCCUUUUUUACUGGCCCCUGAAGUUUACUGUCGUGUCAAGUAACCAUUAUUUGUACAUUAAUUUUGUACAUUAUCAAUGAUACAUAAUGAAUGGUCUGUAGUAAUAUGUUAUCUCCUCCAAUGGAAGAGACACACAGCACAUAUUUAGUACACUAGUCAAUAGUGUCUGCUGGAGUAGAGGAGGAGGUGUCUGUUAUAAGGAGUGUAUCUGUUAAUAGUAUCACAUUGUACUAAUAAUAGUGAUAAUAGUAUUUAAUAAUAAUUGUUUUUAAUAGUUGUUUGUCAGUCCCAAACUGUUUGACUCCUCCCACUACUGUCACUAGUAAUGUUAUCAUUAUCUUCAAUGAGACACAGGAUAUAUUAUAAUAAUUGUUAGUUUUAUAGUAACUGCUGGUAGUUCAUCAACAACAGCUGCUACUAGGACCAAUCAUCAGGAACUACUGAACUACUGUAUCUUAAUUACUGUUCAUUUA